rnacentral:rRNA from 1 species
CCUACGGGUGGCUGCAGUGGGGAAUAUUGGACAAUGGGGGCAACCCUGAUCCAGCCAUGCCGCGUGUGUGAAGAAGGCCCUCGGGUUGUAAAGCACUUUCAGUGAGGAAGAACGCCUGGUGGUUAAUACCCAUCAGGAAAGACAUCACUCACAGAAGAAGCACCGGCUAACUCCGUGCCAGCAGCCGCGGUAAUACGGAGGGUGCGAGCGUUAAUCGGAAUUACUGGGCGUAAAGCGCGCGUAGGUGGCUUGAUAAGUCGGUUGUGAAAGCCCCGGGCUCAACCUGGGAACGGCAUCCGGAACUGUCAAGCUAGAGUGCAGGAGAGGAAGGUAGAAUUCCCGGUGUAGCGGUGAAAUGCGUAGAGAUCGGGAGGAAUACCAGUGGCGAAGGCGGCCUUCUGGACUGACACUGACACUGAGGUGCGAAAGCGUGGGUAGCAAACAGGAUUAGAUACCCUAGUAGUC